UUGAUUUCUCAGUAGUAGUUCCCUACCUGCCUUUUUAAGGAAGAAAAAUUACAGAGGAGAGAUUCUUCUGGGAAAAAAAUAAUGUCUUCAAGGCUGAAUGGCAUUAUUAACUGUGAGAUGGCUUCUCUGAAACUGUGCCACAAUGUCUCACCCAAAUUGGAGAGUAAUUUGCCUCCACAUUUGAAGUUUACUGAAAGGUUUAUGUGAGGGUGUGUGCUGUGAUUUCUGUCAAGUUUAAUGUUGUUUAAAAUAUAACUGUUCAAAUAGCAAGAUGCUGCUCAGUGAAUUUAUGCUGAGGGUUUCUAUUAAAUCCCUAUAAACAGAAGUAUCUGCAAUCAUUAUAGCUGUCUUUUCUGUCAUCUGCUAAAAUACCAGCAUGAUUAAAAGUGCUGUAGAAUGGAGGAACUUAGAAAAUCUGUGUGGGCUCAUUUAGUUGUCUGGGCAGAAAACUGGUCCAAACUCCAUGAUAGCACUUGGAAAAUUCAGCUCAAGCCUCUCCCAAUGAAAGUUGGACAAGGUCGUGCAUGCUAGUUGCACAGAAUACUUUUGACAUUGGGCUGUGUUGAACAGCAGACACUUAAAUUUGGAGAAGCCUCAUCUCCAUAGGAACUAAGUAUUUCCAGUUCUCCAGUACCUGAAGUUUACCUUCUGACCCUGUUCAGGAGCGAAUGGUGUGGUGUCUGAGCUGUGUUGAGAGUUACCAGAGGUGUUCCUCCACCAGCACAGCCUGCAAUGGUGGUUGUUUGCUUCCUUUCUAUAUAUCUUUCUAUAUAUCUCAGGAUACAAGAUAGCAUUUGGAAAAUGAACUCAUUGAUGUGACCUAACCUGACCAUGACCAUAACGAUACACCAGAAAAACUGGAUUUUCAAAAUGAGUAUUUCAGGAUUUGGAUGAAAUGUUUCCAUGAUGGCUUUUCUUUUUCCCAAAAUUCAGGAGUGUCUAUGGGACUUCUAGAUGAUUUUUUGUUUGUUCUUGUUUUGUUUGUUUGUUUGUUUUAAUAUUCCUAAGAAAAGUAACUCAUAAUUCUCUAGCAAGGGUGCAUGUUUACAAAUACACUAUUCAUAGUCUGUUUUGGCACUCUUUAGGAAUUUAACUAUUUCAGAGGCUUAUGAUCUCUGUGACUGAAGGGAACUAGACACAAAGCCAGCUCUACCCAAAAAAAGCAGUUUCAAUGUUUUUGAGAUUCCGAUUACAUGCUUAGAUUUCUUUGGAACAAGCUGCCUGAAGUCGACAUCUAGGUACUGAUUGAUAGAUGCGCAGCUAUGAUUAAUUUCAAGAACCUAAGUCAUGAUUUUGAUGUCUCCAUUUAGACACACCACCAAACAUUUAAACAAUGUUGAACACAAAAAAAACUCAUGUAAAAAUCAACAAUUAGUAGCUCUGAAAAGGCACCACUUUGCUCUCUAUGCUGCCACACCAUUCUUUCCUCUCCUCUGUUUGGUUUUCAGACACUUAUUAGGACACCAUCACAUAGAUAGCUCAGGAAAGACUACAGAUAUAGACUAUAGGAGCAGACAAAGCAAAUGGGAAAUUUCAGACUGUCGUGCAGUAGGAUAGUGUGGAGUAACUGACUGACCACCUUCCCUCACGUAGCUCACUCAAAGCCAGCAUGUUCCGGCACAGCUAGGACUUACAAUAAAAUGUCAGAAAACUUCCAGAUAUUAGUUAAGAUGGCAGGAGAGGUGGUUAUCUCAGGACUGUAACACUAUGGAGUUUGCAAGUCUAAAUUCUGAUCUGGCGAUAGAGUGGUUCAUGACCAAGGAAGGAAGGAAGGAAAAAGGGAAUGAUGGAAGGAAGGAGUUUCUUCUGGUUUCAUCACAGGAAGGUUUUCUGCUGUAAAUCUGAUGCCUGAUUCAGCUCUGAGAGCAUGAAGAAGAUACACUAAUGAGUCAGCAGAGACAUCUGAACAUCACGAGUGCCCAUAACCCUUCAGUCCUGUGACACAGCACUGCCAUUGCUGGGGACAGGCCAUGGGCUGAGCUUUCAUGACACCAGGAUGGAGAUUUAUCCAGCCUGUCCUUUCUGAGGUUUCUUGACCAGUCUGCAGCUUCGUUUUGCUUUUUCUAGCUGUAACUGCAAUUGUUCUAAGUGCUAUUUAUGGCUGAUACAUUUUACUUUUGUAUAUCUUUGUGUGGUGCCAGCAUGGUGUUAUGAUUCUGACGUGUUAGGAAAUAGAGGUGGGGAUGCUGGCUGUGGCACUGGGUGUGUCACUGGAGUCCCGGAGUCUAUAAACUCCAGUGGUUUAACCAGUGGUUAAAGAAAUGCAGAACUGCAGAUAGAUGGAGAUGGUUUUAGGGGUAACAAAGAGAACAAUCUCAUUUAACAUAUGAAAAAAACAGCAUCUAUAGUAAAUUCAGAUGUAAUGUGAGGUGCAAAUCAAUGAAGAAGAAGUUGUAAAAGUGUGCUAGGAAAAAUAAAAUUACCCCAAAUGGAGCCUAGAGUAAGAAGGAAGAAAGCAUCCUACAUGAACACUAUAUUUCUCCCAGCAAAGGACUCCAGAAGGUCAUGACUUACUGUAACCGUUCCCCCUACCCCCCCACCACAAGAGAAACCACCAAGCCUGGGACCCAAAGCAGCAAGAGAAACUUGAGUGUAACAGGAGGAAAAAGGGUGAAAAACAAAGAAGCGUAUGUAUAACAUUUUUAAUUUUAUUAGUAGCAUUUAUUAUUGUUAGCAUUAUUAUUAUUUUUAAAAAACUUUUUCUUAAGAUUAUAUCAUUGCUCUUUCUCUAAUACUUAGGUCUGGACUAGUAAUGAUACUAAGGUUAGAUCUUUAAGAUUUCAGUUAUGCUAACAAUCAAGUCUUGGCUUUAUGUAUCAGGUAUGUUUUUUGUUUGCAUGUAAGCAACAUUUUGACCUAUCACACACCUGUCAGCCCCUCCUGCUCCUGCCUACACCCACCAAAUUUCUGAUGUCACAGGGAAUGUAGAAAAAAAGAAGAAAGGUAUUUAGCAUUUUGGGGUGAUUGAUGAAGUACGGAGAUGCACCUGUAUGCCUAUAUCCUGCUGAGAAAAAUGUAAGCAUCAUUUUCAUGUUACUAUUGCAUACAUUGCUGGUUUAGUUUGUCUCUUAUGUCUUUUCUUCUAGCUUUUCUUUUUCUUGCACUUUGUUUUGCCAUCUUCAGCUCUUCUCUUUACAAAUUUUUCCAGCUGACAAUUAAAUGACAGGUAUUGAGGAUCAUUAGACCCAGACAUGCAUCAUCUGUUUUCAGCUAAACAGCAGACAGAAAACUUAAAGCUUAGAAUUCAGGACUUCUCAGUUCUCAAAAUGCAGUCUUUUGUUCCUUGAUUGCAUUACAAGUCUUCACAGCUAUGUAUCUCCUUUAUUUCCCUUUAAGUACACUCAGAGCAGAUAAAAUGGAAAGUCAUUUGUAGCCACAUUGUUUGCCUCUUCAAUCAAGACAGAAGUUUCCUCCACCCCUGGUAUCUAAGUUGUGGUGUGCAGACAAAAAAUGACCUGAGAGAUCCUGCCUAAUUGAUCUUCAAAAUCAUAAUAGCCAAUACUAUUCCUUGUAUAUGUUUUCCAGAUAAAAGUUAUGAUACUAAGGAAUUGUGACACUGCAGGAAAAAUCUUGAACCUUAGCAAUAAGCCAUGGAUUUGGAAGCUUGGGUAAAGCUGACAGUGCCUUGUUGCACCUCAUGUGCUCUUACACAAUCCCUUCUCUGUUGUAUACUUCAGAAAAUAUUUAAUAUGUGUGAUCUUAUUUGAAAUUAUUUCUAAAAGCUGUUUUGAUGGGAAAAUGAUGUAUUUAAUAAUUUUCCACAAGAAGCCCUAGUUGUUUCAAAGCUGUCAUUUUUUUUCUUUGCAGAUAUUUAGACUGUUUGUAUAUGUUUAUGUGUGUGGGCAUUCUUUUUUCCUUCAUUAUGUAAAUUUUUGGGAGAGAAGAGAAAUUAUCCUACCAUAAUAAUCAAUUUGAGAGGUGUAAAAUUAAAAAAAAAAAACAAAACCUAUAAUCUUUCAAAAAUGACUGAAGUAUUUUGUAAAAUUGUUUAUUUUCCCUUUCGUUACCUUUAGUUAAAGAUAAUUUGUGAUUAAGUUUGUUCUUUUUAUCGCAAAUGGUAAACAUAGGGUGAUACCUGUUGCAAAAAAACACAGUCCCCAGGGAUCUAAUCUGAUGAUCCGAUUAGUUUAGCCAAGCUUUAUAUAAAAUCUCUGUGCCUUCAGAACAUGCAGUGAUUUCACCGUUACUCAGAGUCUGGAUUAAUUUCAUCCAUUUCUGUUUCUUCUGGGAAUUUAGCAAUGCUCUUUGUAUCAAGGCUGUUUUCAUCUCAGUGGUGUUGCUAUAUGCAUAUUGUCCUUUGGUAAUGCAAUCUUGUUUCCUGCAUGGUUUGUAUCCAUUUGAAAGGGACGUUCUGAUUUAAUUACAGACUGUGACUGUAUAUACUUUCGAUACUAUCCAAAACCACAGAGCUCUGAGCUUUCCUAACAUCUCCCAGACUGAAACAGAUUGUUUCUCAAGUUUACAGGUUGAGGUGGAGUUCCCAGUUGUACAGCCUAAUUUGCAGGUAUCUUUUUGUCAGUAACUAGCUGGUGCCUUGCUCUGAGCAGGGGUAAAGAGAGAAAACACCUCUGCAGUACUCACCCUGAAGGUACACAAGACAUCUGCUGGUGUCUGGAAGACAUGCAAAAUGUGACAAUUCCCUCUUGGGGGGGGAAAGAAAAGGAAAAAAAAAAAAGAAAAAUAAGGAAAAAUCAGUAUGUAGAAAUUAAUGUGCCUUUGUGAAGAUUCAAAACAGAUGGGGAAAAGGUCAGGGAUUCUUUGUUGCUAAGUGCGUUUCUAUGACAACUGCAAUGUGUAUGUUAUGAGUGAGCGAUCAUUUGUUCCAGCUGCUGGAUCAUUAAAGGGGCAGCAUUUCCCUCAGCACUGGGAGUGUUAUUCAUGGCUUAUUUACUUUUUCUUUACCCCUCUUUAAACCAAAGUUCAACAGGUAAGACACAGUGAGUGCCUGAAAGCUUCAGUCAAUCACAGCGUGCUACACAUCACAGGUCUGGAUGAGUCUGGAGUACACAGUGUGUGCCUUGGAGGAUGCUGGGGGAGCUCAGUAAGGAGAUUAGGGAGAUUAAUUUAGAUCCAAUCAUGCAAUUAAAUCUCUGUACUCAUGGUGAGAUAUUCUAUGAUGCCAUGAUUCUGUGAUGCUGGGCUGUUUUGCAAGAGUUUCUGUAGAAUUUAUGGCAUGACUUGGGAGACACAAGUGACUUGUCUCUCCAUGCAUCUUUGGCAUGGGAAUACUAGUACACACAGAGACUCAUAAAAUGUUUGGAUAUUGUCUUAGAAAAAGUUAAUUAACUAGAAUGAUAGUAGGAAACUACUCCUUUACACAGUGAAAUAAGAGGACGAAGCUUCAACUGCUUGGCAAUAUGGUCCAAGAAACACAGAUUUCAUUGUUCAUAGGAGUCGAUUUUGUCAAAUCUUUCCACUCAUAUAAUUUUACUUGUUUUUUAAGAUUAAAAACAAAAAAAAAGAACAACAAAACAACACUUGAAGGUUGUUGAUACAGGGUCAAUAUCCAUUUCCAGUGACACUGAAGAAUAAAUUGGGUAGUAUUUCUCUUCUGUGAAUUGUGCAUCUGGAAAAAGUGACUGUUUCAGCAUGUCUGAGCCUAUCAGUCACUUCUGGUGGCACGUACAGCUCUCUGUCUUCCCUACAUUGGAGUGUGGUACUCCAGCUGACAGCCAGAAAAUAUCUCCCUAACUUUCAAUGUGACAUCUUGUUGGCUUCUGGCUGCUUGUGCCUUUUGCUAUUCUUGAAGAAGGAUUUUUUUUUCUUUUUUUUUUUUUUUUUUUUUUUGGCAUAUAUCAGUGCAAUAGAAAACAUGAACUUCUACUUAGUAACAGAAAAGAGAAAAUCAAAGCAGUUUCAACUUAUUUGUCCACUGGGACUGCUUGCUUUUCUAGACUGAUACCUUCUUUUUGAUCUUGUCUAGGAAUUAAAGUGUUUUCACUGUUUAUUUCUUUGUAAGAUUUUCUUUAGAAAACCCGCUAUGCAAACCCAUUGCUACUAAGAAAUGAAAAUUCAGGGCAAUGAAUGCGGGGAAAAAGCUUGAUGCAAGAAGCAUUAGGAAAUUCUGAACUUGCAUAUUGGUAGACAUGACAGUCCAGCUGCCAUCAGAUGACUCUUAUCGCAUGCGAGAGAUGAAUUGUUCUAUUGCCAUGAGCUGCUUUGGCCAAACAGAAGAAUUAGAGUAAUUCAGGUGGGAAGUGGAAGCUGCAAUAAAACCAGGCCUUCAGUAUCAAAAAGACAGGUUAUAAUAUAGACUUGGCUGACAGCUUCUUUGUCUGUUUUAUACAAAUACUCUUUCUCUUCUGCACAGAUGUUUUUUCCCCACACUUUCUUGGCUUCAGCUGGUGGAAGAAGAACAAAGCAAAGCAGCUGCCCUGUGCUUUGAAUCCCGUCCAUCUCGCCUCAUUUCAACAUAUGGAGUGAUGAUGCACAUCACUGUUCAGAUCUCAUUUUGUUCUUUGAGAAAUAUGGAGAGGGAGGUAUUUACUAAAUUCGGUUGAGUGGCAGAAACAAGGCUAAACAUCCUGGAAGCUAAGCAUCCCUCAGAGAUUUAGCAUUUGUGUGGUUGACUGUCUUUCUGGAAGACUGAGCUCAGCUGCCCUCUGCAUCACAGCUCUUUAUCCCUCAGUUUAGGUCUUUCACGGACAUCCAUAAUGCAAAUUUCUCCAUGCCACUUCAUGUAAUUCUUGUUGAAAUAAAAGUUUAUUCCCCAUUUUGCAGCCACAACCUGGUGAAAAAAACAGUUAUGUCAGUGGUUUCAGCUUAGUGUCUGUGCUUGUAGAGAGAAAGAUCUGGAUUCACAUCUGCUCCAUGCUGAUUACAGACAAGGCAGCUGACAAGCACAAUGUUGGACUGAAGUAUCUCAAGGGUUGUUCCUAUACUGGGUCACUUGCAUUUGGAGAAUGUUAAUGGGGCAAAGCUGGAAAAUAAAUUUGAUGGGGGACAUGUCUGCUGAGAGUCCAGCUGAGGGGCAACUAGAGCACAUCAUUCAAAUGUACAGAGUUGGGGUGAAAACUGAUGUACUGCUAUCUUGUUUCAUUUCAGAUUAGCUAUCUCAGAUUAACUACCUAAGAGGAAUGGCAGGGAAAAGACAGCUGGAGGAAAUGAAACUAAAACAUCAGCUUUGGAAAAAGAAAGCAAGAUCAGAUUGUGUCCUCCAGACGAUGCUGAUUUCCAGAGCUUUCAUUUCAGAAGCCUCCAGAACAACUUGCCUAAGGAUUGCACCAGCAGGUUAGGAAAUGGCAAGCUGCCAGCUCAACCGGAAGGUUACCUAAGAUAAUAACAUUGCUGUGAGAAGCCCAUGUAAAGUUUCUUUGUUUUAAGACUUCUAGCAGGGAAUACAAGUAGGCAUAAGCUCAAAACAGCAGAAGUUCUGCAAAUAGCAUCUUUGGAUGUAAGACAGGAUAUUAAAAAAUUGCACAACUCCAAUGUCAAACAGGACAUUUGGUCUUGCCUUUGGAUGACUGUGAUAGCUGAAUUCCACAAAAAGUUAACUCUGGCUUCCCCUUCCUUUUUGAGUAUGUUACAGACAAAUAUAUUUUUUCUGUGUGAGUUCUGAAUGAAUACCAGCACAACAGUGGUACCCAGUAUGAGAAAUGAGGACAGUGCCAAAGCUGAAACUUGGUCAUACAGCACUAACACGGGGCUUGAAUGGUAAGUCCUUAACCACUGUUUUUGAUUUCCUUUCUGACCCAAUUUUAAGCUCUAUCUAAAAGCAGACUAAUUUAUUUUCACUAAAAGGAACUAAUGCUCCCAGUAGCAGAGAAUAUAUGUGCUACAGUAAUCCAUUUGGUGUUAUAUAUUUACUUCUUCGUCUCUACUUCAAAUAGAGAAGCUAAAAGGCUCUUCCAGAGGCAGUUUGAAAAAAUACUAGUCCUGAUCACAUCUGAGCUAGCUAAAAGUUGUAGAAGGUUCCCUCUGGGCUUACAUGGUUGACAUUGGAGAGGUAAUACAUGCAAAGAAUUUAGAGUAAUGAGCUGAGAUGUAAAAAAGCACAAGCAAGAAAGUGAGCAAAACAGUUUCUGUUCUCUGUAGGACAUUUAAACAUAAAAUUCUCGAAUUACUAAUUCCUUAAUUCCUUCCUUCCUCAAACACAAACAGCUUUUUUUUGCUUCUUUUUUUUUUUUUUUUUUUUUUUUAACAAUCUUCACUUUACAGAAAUCAACAAAAUAUUGAAAUGGGAAAGUCAGAUUUUUAUGAAGGGAAACUCACUGAAUCAAAGUGGGAAAAAAAGAAUCACAUUUUGCAGAUCACUUUGGAAAACUGUAUUACUGCUGGUUCUAGUUCUCUGUCUUAAAAGACCUGGGGCUUUAAUGAAUGAAAACAAACUGAGGCUCUACUAUUUCAGAGGAGCACAAGGCUAGUCAGUGUUCUGUAGGACUUUGAACGUCUCAGGUUAUGUAUGAUUUGUACUUCACUAAAAAUAAUUAUUUUAUUCCGUUUCACAUCCUACCCUGGACUGUACAAUCAUUUCAAUGACUGUUAAAUUUGGUUGUGUUUCCAUGACAAAAACUUAUUAUCUAUUGGCGUUUGUAUUUUGCUAGUGUCUGACCAGUGGUGACCAGCUGCCUACCAGGAUAAAACCAAAACAAUGAGGAUUGAAGUAUUCCAAAAUCAACUGAACCUGUCUAGUGCCCUUACGGAGCUCUUGAUGAGGUUCAAGACUAUUUGUACUAAUAGCGUACAAGAAGCAAUAGUUUAGUUGCUGUAAGCUCAUAGGAGCUUAUAGACCAGGUUGCAGCACUGAGGAAACCGGAGUUCAAUAAAAGGGCAGAAGUGGCCCAGAGAGAGCAAAGAGCAUUGAUAGAACAGUUACAAGGUAAACAUGUAUUCAGGUUGGUGUUUCUAGUCAACUGGAAUGAAGUGUGUAAGUUUAUACAGAGUAUCAGUGAGCCAGGAACAAAAUAGGAGCUCCCCUGCUUAAAGGAUAAGGGCUCAUGCCUGGACUUUUUCCUUCACAAAUCCCUGCAGAAGCAAAUAGAGCUCUUUAUGGCUGACUCUUAGCCAUAGCACCAUCCAGGGAAGUUCCUUUUGUCCUAAACUCAGAUAGAGUUUUAGGUUUAGAAUUUUUUUUUUCUUUUUAAAUUUUAUUUUGCUUGUUGUUAUUCUUCACAGUACUUCAGUACUUAAACACAGAAAGGCUAGGGCACAGGAAAACAGAAGUCUGAGGGGAAGGAAAACACAUAUGUAAUCUUUUCCACACACAGUCAAACGAUGAAAAAGGAAAGACAAACCUCAAGGAGACAAACAACUACAAGUAUGAGAUGAAGGAAGACAGAGCUUUCAGGAAGAAAGUCAUUCUGGCCACUGCUGUGCUGGGAAUACUUACUUGUCACAUGGUGCUUAAUCAUAAUAAAUUAAGUUUUAUUUUGCAUUUUGCAACAUGCUAACUUGGCUCAGCAGGUAAUGGGAGGAGCCCUGGGUCGCCAAAUGGUGUUUAACUGAGAAUAACAACAAUUUCCCCCCUGCAGGCUGGCAUAAAUAAUGAAUUCAAAAUAUGCCUCUUUUGAGCAGAUUAUUCCAGCUGCUUCUUGUUCUUAAAGCUCAUUGGGAGGUUUAACACCAGAAAGUUAGCCCUCCUGAAGCUGCAAUUAUCCUCAAGCAACAGUCCUGGGAGAUGGGGAGUGUAAUCAAAGCUGCUUCAUGUUACCAGAGAUGGAGAACUGCAAGAGUUCAGUGAAGGUUCAGCCAAGGUGACCCACAUCUCAUCUGAAGAUCUGCUAUGGGAUGGCCUCAGUUUGUUCAACAUGGGUCUGAAAUGUCACCAAAUCUGCACCAGCUUAAAUACCAGCAUGAGGGUGCAGAGCAUGAUACCCACUGUAAGGAUCUACUGGGCAGGUAAAACAGCAGAGAAGAUUUAGGUCAGACUGUAAGGGAGGUAAAAAUAAAAUCCAAACUUUUCUAUGGCUAAAGGUAGCUACACAUGGCAAGAGAUUGGCUCAGGAAAUGGGAAACUCCAGCACUGUAGGGCGUUAUAAGCACAGGUUAGAUGAGCAACUGUCAGGAGUGGUUUAUGAAUAGUUUGCCUGCUUUUGAGUAAAGGGAUGGACUGGUCAGUCCCUCGAGGUCUCUUGCAGCCCUGUAUUCAGUGAUUGAUGGAAAUUGUGAUAUGUUUGCAAGCAACUCAUUUCCAGGUUCAAACAGCCUGUAUGUGGUGCCUCCUUCUGUUCUCCAGAGCUAAUACCUGUUUUGCCACUGUCUGCAUUAGGAUCAGGGUCAGAUCAUUAAUUAGAUCUAUGAUUGGCUGCAAAUAUAUUUUCCUGGGACUAAAGAAGUGUCUGCCACUUGUUAGCAGCAAUAUACUUGUGGGUAUCUUUCGAUUCGAAAAAAAAGAAUGAGACCCAGUGACUGCAAAGAAUGCAGUGCUUGACCAUUAGAUAAUAGGAAUAAAUACACCUGAGCAUUCACAGUUGCCUGGGGUUUUGCCUGAUUUCUGGAGGCAGAGGAAGACUGUGGAUAUUUUUUUUUUCCCCACCCUUUUGUCCCUGUACACUGUUGCAAAUUAUACCCAGGUCCUAUCUAUCAGUCCUCUAAAUCUAACCUUAAGAGAACAGACCACUGGAACAAAUAUUUCAAUCCCCUUUUUUUUCAGUAGAGUGACAGACUGUCAGUGUUAACACAGCCUCAUGCUUAUGCCAUAGAGCUGAGAUUACAAACCGUCAGUGUUAACACAGCCUCAUGGUUAUGCCAUAGAGCUGAGAUUAACUGUGCUGCUGCCCAGUCCUGGGCCUGUUGUAGCUACUGUGGAAAAUUACAGAUGUUUAUUUUCCAUCUAAAAAAGAGACUCUCUUGAGAAUUCCUUUUAAGCCUGCUGGAGAUUAAUGGUGCCAGAAAGGUCAUCUUACAAAAACCUCAUUCUCACAGGAGAAAGCUCCUCUCUAUAUCAAAAUGUCUGGGUCAAACUCAGUCAUGGCAGAACUUUGUCUUUAUCAAGGAAAUUACUUCUGGGGUAAAUAUGGCUAAUUUCUGUUCUCCAUCAGUUAGAAUACUGCAUUUAUCUCAUGUUCUUGGGUUGACCUUCAUUGCUCUCAUAUCUUGGUUACUCAUGGGCUUUAUUUUUAUUCAUGCAGCCUCCUGCAAGGAAGAAAGGUGAUCAUGUCUUCAAAAUGGAAGAUGACUUCCCAUGCUGUAACAGAACUGGAAAUGUUCCUUGGUUACCCAGCACAAAUCUUAAUAACCUUAAUUACUGUGGGUGGGUGAAACACCCCACCCUCUUGGGUUUGCCGUUUCUUCAUUCCAGACAGUCUCUGUAAAGACUCAGGGCUCCUGAGAGAAGGAUUCACACAGAUAGGAAGCCAUUCUUAGAACCAAAAAGGAAGGAGAUCCUCUGGUCCACCAGUAAAACAAGAACCUACACUGUUCAAGUGUCACAACAUCUGCCUCAUUCCGGGUGCCCAGUGUCUGGUCAAUUCCAGAACCAGAAGUAUAUGGACUAUUUAAGAGCAAUUUAUUCACAAUGUACUAGAGACCAUGUGCAGUAGCUGUUGGUUAAUUCUUCCUCUUUUGCUUUUCUAUGUGUUCUAGCAAAGAGAAGCUGGUUGCACUGUCAGAUUAUCCAGAGGCCCUAUGAUGGUGGUGUGCUUCUCUUUUCUCCAUCUGCUUUGAAGAGGCUUAUUUAAUAAGGUUUUACUUUGAUAACAAUCCUGCAGUCUGAUAGAUCACAAUCUCAGGAGUGUGUUUGUCACUGUCAUCUCAAGGAGAAAAAAAAAAACCUCCUGACAUUCAGUCUGAAUUAAAAAGCAAUAAAUGUUUAAAGACAUGAGAAUUAAUAAAUAAUAUUUUAUUUCUUUCCAUGUAGUA